UUUAUUAAAAUGAUUUUAAAAAAUAUCAAGUAAAUCGAAUGCCUAAUGGUAUUUGAUCAGAGAAGAUAUACACCGAAAAAAAAUGAUAGAAAGUUAGGUGCGCACACUUGAUUACAACCCGGAAGUUUUUUUUUCUUUCUCAAAAGGCCUUUUUGGUCGUAGUCCGUUUUGAUCAAAAGUCGACCUCGCCGCCGAUCCGAGUUCCGAUCACUGAGUCAGCCGGUAGAGGUGUGUCAGCGACGCAGCGUGUCUGAUUUGGCUAUCAGAAAUAGACCCACAUCUUAAGCCUCAGAGCGUCCGAUUUCGCGGCCAAGAAUGUGAGAAGAAGUAACACCUUAGGAAGAAAAGGAGACACAGAUCAUAGUAGUACAACAUGAGGUGGAUGGGAGAAGAUUGUGCAGUGGUUAAACAAAUUCUGGAAUCAUAUAGGGCAUCCGGUUAGCAAGUGAAUAUCCGAAAAUCCUCAAUUUUUUUUAGCUUGAACACGACAGUUGAAAGAAGAAUGGAGUGCCGAGUAAUCCUGGGAUUUGGUACUCGUUCAGCAAAUACUUGGGGUUGCCUUAUAUCAUCGGAAGAUCCAAGAGGGCAGCGUUGAUGUACAUCAAGGAAAGGGUGUUGAGCAAAAUCAAAGGGUGGAAAGGGGAACUCCUGAAUCCUGCUGGAAAAGAGGUUUUAACCAAAUCAGUCCUCUUGGCGCUGCCCACUUGUGCUAUGGCCUGUGUUAAAAUUCGCCUUGGCAUGUUUAAGAUGUCGAAUUCAAAUAUAGCUCAAUUAUUUGGAGUGGAGCUAAGGACACAAGGAAAAUUCACUGUAUUCAGAGCCAAAUCAGGUGCAUUUGAAGGAAGCAGUUGAGCCAAAAAACCAGGGGAUGAUUCAGUCUAAUCAGUGGAGUCCACCAGCCCUGGGCAUCCUUAAGAUUAAAGUUGAUGGAAGCCUUCAAUUCUAUGAUUGGUGAAGGGGGAGUUGGAGUUGCAAUGAGAGAUGCGUUGGGCCGGUAAUUUGCGAAGAGCAGAAGCUUUUCAAUUGGCAAUGCUACAGCGGUGGACACGGUUGAAGCUUUGGGGUUUCAAUUUUGUGGUUUUGAUGGCAAAGAACUAUGGCAGGAUGGAGUGUAUUUUGGAAGGGUAUGCUCACAGCAUUGCUCAGAUGCUGCGAGGAAGGAUUAGUGCCAAGGCCCGCUUGCGAGUGACCAUCGGAGAAUGUCUAAUUUAGUUCAUUUUCUUCAGUGUUGUUCUUUUUAUUUUGUUUCUCGCAAUUGUAACAGGGUAACUCAUGAAUCAUGAGAUAGCUAAAUAUGCCCUAUCCGCUGAGACUUCUAUGUCAUGGCAAGGAGAUUUCCCAAGCUGGAUUCA